GACGAACGCUGGCGGCGUGCCUAAUACAUGCAAGUCGAACGCAGUGGGGACGGGUGAGUAACACGUGGGUAACCUCCCAUCAGAGGGGAUAACACUUGGAAACAGGUGCUAAACCGAUACUGAUGGAUGGACCCGCGGUGCAUUAGCUAGUUGGGGGGGUAACGGCUCCCCAAGGCCACGAUGCAGAGCUGACCGGAGAGGGUGUUAUGCAACAGUGGGAGUUAGACACGGCCCAGACUCGUACGGGAGACAGCAGUAGGGAAUCUUCGGCAAUGGACGAAAGUCUGACCGAGCAACGCCGCGUGAGUGAAGAAGGUUUUCGGAUCGUAAAACUCUGUAGUUAUAGAAGCGGUAUCUAACCAGAAAGCCACGGCUAACUACGUGCCAGCAGCCGCGGUAAUUC
rnacentral:rRNA from 1 species